rnacentral:tRNA from 1 species
GCCUUCGUGGUGUAGUGCCAGCACGCUCGACGCGUAUUCGAGAGGUCCGGAGUUCGAUUCCCGGUGAGAGCA